GAUGAACGCUGGCGGCGUGCCUAAUACAUGCAAGUCGAGCGAACAGAUGAGGAGCUUGCUCCUCUGACGUUAGCGGCGGACGGGUGAGUAACACGUGGAUAACCUACCUAUAAGACUGGGAUAACUUCGGGAAAUCGGAGCUAAUACCGGAUAAUAUAUUGAACCGCAUGGUUCAAUAGUGAAAGACGGUUUUGCUGUCACUUAUAGAUGGAUCCGCGCCGCAUUAGCUAGUUGGUAAGGUAACGGCUUACCAAGGCAACGAUGCGUAGCCGACCUGAGAGGGUGAUCGGCCACACUGGAACUGAGACACGGUCCAGACUCCUACGGGAGGCAGCAGUAGGGAAUCUUCCGCAAUGGGCGAAAGCCUGACGGAGCAACGCCGCGUGAGUGAUGAAGGUCUUCGGAUCGUAAAACUCUGUUAUUAGGGAAGAACAAAUGUGUAAGUAACUAUGCACGUCUUGACGGUACCUAAUCAGAAAGCCACGGCUAACUACGUG
rnacentral:rRNA from 1 species